AUAUUGGAUUAUCUUUCUUAUCAGUAUUAUGAUAGAACAAGAUGCCUUCUCCCUCUAGAAUUUCUUUCUUGGUAUUAUCUGCUAACCAAUUUUCCAGUUUAACAUCUAAAAUAAUAUCUAAUAUCAAUAAUCUUGUCUCAUAUAUACUGCAUGUCCAGAUGUGUUGUUAAACUUGAGAUAAUCAAUCAGUAAAUAUUCUGUAAGCAUCACAUAACUCAAACGUAUCACACAACCAGUCAUUGCUGCUCACUGUACUUCCUAAAAUCAUGCAACUGAUCAUUGAACCGUAUACAAUCCAGGCAGGUAGACUGUAGCCAAUCUUGUUCCCAGGCUCGUGCCGUCGUGGCACCCGCAGCGAAGUACGCUGAUGUUUAUAUGAUGUAUCAUAUGCUUUGAAGGGGCUUCGGUGGCGCAGUCGUCAGAGCAACCUCUGAGAUCAUCGGUUCGAUUCUCGUUGCGGACAAAUGACACUUAAGAUGCGAAAAGAGUUAGUCAACGCUCUACCAAAAGUCCAGUGGCGCCGUGGCCGGGAGGGGGGUCACGAGACCCGUCGGAAAAUUGUCAAUGUUGUCGGAAAUUGUCAAAGUUGUC
rnacentral:lncRNA from 1 species